rnacentral:snRNA from 1 species
GUGUUCGCUUCAGCAGCUCAUAUACUAAAAUUGGAACGAUACAAAGGAGAAGAUUUGUAUGGCCCCUGUGCAAGGAUGACACACAAAUUCGUGAAGUGUUCCAUAAAAAA